AUGCUUGCCUUGGCAACACACAUACUAAAAUUGGAACAAUACAGAGAUUGGCAUGGUGCAAGGAUGACACAAAUUCAUGAAGCAUUCCGUAUUUUU
rnacentral:snRNA from 1 species